UACGGGGGGGGCAAGCGUUGUUCGGAAUUACUGGGCGUAAAGGGCUUGUAGGUGGCCAACUAAGUCAGACAUGAAAUCCCUCGGCUUAACCGGGGAACUGCGUCUGAUACUGGAUGGCUUGAGUGUGGGAGAGGGAUGCGGAAUUCCAGGUGUAGCGGUGAAAUGCGUAGAUAUCGGGAGGAACACCGGUGGCGAAGGCGGCGACCUGGGUCGAGACUGACGCUGAGGCGCGAAAGCGUGGGGAGCAAACAGG
rnacentral:rRNA from 1 species